CAAAGGGAUGACUAAAAUAUAUUUAAGAGCUAGCACCCUGACCCCUCUUAAGGAUGACUUAUGUUGCUGGGGAAAAAAUAAGAAGUGCUCGAUGUAGAAGGUGAAUAGCUUUAUAAUUCCCAGGAGAAUCUUGGUACCAGGACCACACAAGAAAGAACUUGGAGUCCCUGUGGCUAAUCCAGCAGAGAGAAAAGGAGGAACAGAGAUGCGAGAGAAAAUAAAGGGAACUCUUGGUGCAAUUUGGUGCUGCUGCAGGCCCAAGUCCAGACUCGCAGGCUUUCUGGACCUCAGAGGAAGAUAAGCACUUCACAGAACCUCUGCUACAAAACCAAACAUAUUGAAAUGACUCUUUACGAAGAUACUGAAACAACAGAAAAAGAAUACAUGACGAUUGUUUCUCCUGAGGGUUCAGUUACCUAGGGGGCCUUUAGGAAACUUUGACUGAUAAAUCUAACCUUUCCUUCCUUGGCAAUAGUUGAUCACACUGUGAGGAAAACAAGUUGGAGAAUGGAAAAAUAAUAUUUGGAUUUCAACGAAAUAAUAAAGAUGCAGGGGCUAUCUUUGACUUUUGCAAGGUGAGAAGAGAGUUUACAUUUUGAUUCUUUGAUGGCAGGAAUCCCUUUUAAAACAGGCCCAGUCUGCAUGAUGCAUUUAAAAAUCAACCUUUUCAAAUAUAGCCAUAACCCCCACAAGAUUUCUUGAUUUCUCUGGGGUCAGAUAAACCAUCACAUCUCACAGUGGUGCCCUGUAUAUGAAAGUGAUAAACAUAACCUGGAAGCACGGCAGUGGCUAAAAAUAUGGAGCUGGUAGCCAUUCGCUGAAAUGAUUUUUGGCUUUUAAUUCAUUGCAUAAAAUGCUAAUGUCCAAAUUCAGGCAGGUAGAUCUUAGCAACCAUCAAGAGCUUCAGCCCUGCUAACAGCUAAGUAUGCACUUUUAAACCCUACUUUGACUGCUCCAGAAACUUACUGGGUUUCCUUAAUGCCUCUCUUACUAUUUCCUUUGUGUCGUUUUCUUUUUCUUUAAAAACAUAGCUGUGUGAUCUUGGGGAAGUUAUAUUAAUUCCUUGAGACUUGGUUGCCUUCUCUGUGAAUAUCUGCGUAUAAUUUUAUUAUUGCUCAAUAGAAUUUUUGGUGAUAAUGAAAAUAUUCUGUAUCUGUACCAUGCAAUGCAGUAUUCAAUAGCUACAUGGAGCUAAUAAACAUCUUUGGAAUAUGG